AUAUGUUUUGAGAAUGAAUAUGUAAGCAGUGUGUUGUUUUGGUUCCGAGAUUGUUCCUUGUCAAACCUCUUACUGAGAGGACUGGUCAUUGAUUUUUAUCUUCGUAAUUUCGUUGUUGAUUGAAGUAUGUAAUUUGAAAUUGAAUUUCAAAGGAGAAUUGAGAAUAUUUGAAAGCAUCCAAGAAAAUUUGAGAGUAUCAAAGAAGAUUUGAUUAUAUCGAAGAUGCCGAAAGUUCUGGAUAAAGUCCUUUUCGUUCAAAAGCCGAUGGGCCUGACUAGGGAGAAGAAGCCGUAUGGAUGCGAGUUUUGCUAUAUACGGCACUGCAUGAUCUACUGUGUGAAUGAUCAUGCAGUGGGGCGCUUUGAAGGCAACAUCAUGCGUUGCAUGUUUUGCGAGAAGCGUUUCCGGGUGAAGGAGAACUUCGCCAGACAUCUGCACAAGAUCCAUUUGACCAUGGCGCAGGAGAUUGUAUGGGAGAACUGAUUGCGAUGGAGGUCCCAAGGUGAUUGAGGUCCCCAGGUGACUUCUCACUUAUGGAGAAUUUCAAUUCGGACAACCAUGACGGACAAUUAAUAGCUGUAUUGUAUUAGUAUUGUAAUUAAGGGAACUUGGUACCCCAAAUUUAUUUGCUGUCGUUAAAUGUUGAUUUCCGAAAUUUAAAUUUCUGAACAGGAAAAAUAUUUAAGAAAUUUAAAGUUCAAAAUUUAUUAAAUUUUUAUAAAAAAAUUACCAGGGUAUUUUUAAAUGCUUUUUUUUUAAGUACCUCUAAUGGAAUAAGGCAUCCGCUUUUGGAUAUCUAUUGUUCAUUUACUGUUAGUGUUAAUUUUGAAGGAAAAAAAAUGUUAGUUAAAAAAAUUUUGGGAUUUUUUCACUUUUGAUAUUUUUAAAAAUUUCUCUAAUUAAUAUUUUUGAGAAUCGAUGCCUAAUUCUAUUUAUUUUUCUGCUUUCACAGAAAAAAAUAUUUGAUUAUUGUGAUUAAAGGAACUUAGUACCCCAAAUUUUUUUCUACAAUUUUCUCAAUCUAUUUUGUCUUGUUGUCAUAAAAUGUAAACUCAGAAAUUUAAAUUUUAAAAAUAAUUUUUCCUGUUCAGAAAUUAUAAAUUUAAUUUUUUUUUUUUUAAGUGAGCUUUUAAUGGUUCUUGUCAUUCAAUUUUCAAAAUUUGUUCAUCGAUUUUUUUAAAAGAAUCCUCUAAAUGAACCUAAUGCCAUUAAGAACCCAAUUUUGGAUAUCUAGUGUUUGUUUAUUGUUAGUUUUGGAGGCAAAAAUGUUAGUGACUUUUUGAAAAGUUAGAUUUUUAGCUUCUGCUGUUUAAAAAAAUAUAUAUAUAUUUUUAAAACUCUGUCAGCAAAGUUGAUAUUACUUAUUUUACAAAAAAGGAUUAUAUAAUUAUUGUGAUUCAGGAAACUUGGUUUCCUAGUUUUUUUUCUACGAUUUUCACAAAAUCUACUUGUUUUGCUGUAAUUAAAUGUAAUGUAAAUUUUAAAAAUAUUUUUUCCUGGACAAAAAUUUAAAAUUUAAUUUUUUUUAAUUGAGCUUUUAAUGGUUCUUCUCAUUCAAUUUUCAAUAUUGGUUGAUACAUUUAUAUAUAUAUAUAUAUGUGUGUAUAUAUAAAGGAAUCCUCUAAAUGAACUUAAUGGCAUUCAGAAUUCAAUUUUGGAUAUCUAGUGUUUGCUUAUUGUUAGUUUUGAAGACAAAUUUUUUUGAAAAUUUGGAUUUUUUUUCAUUUUUGUUGUUUAUUUUUAUUUAUUUAUUUUUUUAUUUAUUUAUUUUUUAUUUAUUUUUUUAACUCUGUCAACAUAGUUGAUGUUUCACAGAAAAGAAUUAUUUGAUUAUUGCGAUUUAGAAAACUUGGUUCCCCAGUUUCUUUCUACAAUUUUCACAAAAUCUAUGUUGUUUUGCUGUAAUUAAAUGCAAACUCAGAAAUUUAAAAUUUAAUUUCUUUAUUGAGCUUUUAAUGCUUCUUGUCAUUCAGUUUUCAAUAUUUGAUAAUCGAUUUUUUUUAUAUAUAAAGAAUCCUCUACAUGAACUUGAUGGCAAAAAUGUUAAUAAUUUUUUCUAAGUUGGAUUGUCUUUUUUUUUUUUUUUUUUUUUUUUUCCCCCUUCAUUUUUGCUAUUCAAAAAAAAUUAAUAUUUUUAAAAAUCGAUCUACAAAGUUGAUAUUACUUAUUUCACAGAAAAGAAUUAUUUGAUUAAUGUGAUUUAGGGAACUUGAUUCCCCAGUUUUACAGUUUUAACAAAAUCUGCUUUAUUUUGUUGUAAUUAAAUGCAAACUCAGAAAUUUAAAUUUUUAAAAUAUUUUUAUUUUUCUGUUCAGAAAUUUAAAAUUUGAAUUUUUAAUUGAGCUUUUAAUGCUUCUUGUCAUUUAAUUUUCAAUAUUUAUUAAUCGAUUUUUUAAAAAGAAUCUUCUAAAUGAACUUAAUGGCAAACAGAACCCAGUUUUGGAUAUCUAGUGUUUGUUUAUUGUUAGUUUUGGAUAUGUACUCUUUUUUCAUUGUUAAUUUUGGGGACAAAAAUGUUGGUGUGUUUCAAAAAUGUUUUGAAAAAUUGGAUUUUUUUUACUUUUGGUGUUUAAAAAAAAAUAUUUUUAAAAUGCUAUCAAAAAAGUUGAUAUUACUUAUUUCACAGAAAAGAAUUAUUUGAUUAUUGUGAUUCUCAGAAAACUUGGUUCGCCAGUUUUUUUCUAAAAUUUUCACAAAAUCUGCUCUGUUUUGUUGUAAUAAAAUGUAAACUCAUAAAUUAAAAUUUUUAAUUAAGUUUUUAAUACUUCUUGGUGUUCAAUUUGCAAUAUUUGUUGAUCACUUUUUUUUUUUUUUUUAAAGAAUCCUAAAUGAACUUAAUGGAAUUAGGAAUCCAAUUUUUGAUAUUUAGUAUUCGUUUAGUGUUAGUGUUAGUUUUGGAGAAAAAAAUUUUUUACUCAAAAACUUUUGUCAUUUUUUGAAAAUUUGAUAUUUUCGCUUUUGCUGUUUGUACAAAUUUUUCUAAUGAUAUUUAAAAUAGCUUAGUCAAAAAAAAAUAUUGUAAUAUUUUGAAAAAUUGGAUUUUUUCACUUUUAUAAUUUUUUUUAAAAAUUUCUAAUUGAUAUUUUUAUAAUUCAAUGCCUAAUUCCAUUAAGUUGACUUUUUGAUUUCGCAGAAAAAAGUUUCAAAAAAUUUGAAUAAAAUUUGUUUUGUUUUAUAGUAGACAUGAUUUCAGAAAAAAAUAUUUUUGAACACAAAAUCGGCAUUUUUAUCCACUUUAGGGUACCAAGUCCCCUUAAAAAAUGGUAGCUGUUCAUAGUUCUUGAAAUCCAAAUUGAAAAAUAAAGUUCCGUCAUCAUUGA